rnacentral:rRNA from 1 species
GAUGAACGCUAGCUACAGGCUUAACAACAUGCAAGUCGAGGGGAAACGGCAUUGAGUGCUUGCACUCUUUGGACGUCGACCGGCGCACGGGUGAGUAACGCGUAUCCAACCUUCCCAUUACUGUGGGAUAACCUGCCGAAAGGCAGACUAAUACCGCAUAGUCUUCGAUGACGGCAUCAGAUUUGAAGUAAAGAUUUAUCGGUAAUGGAUGGGGAUGCGUCUGAUUAGCUUGUUGGCGGGGUAACGGCCCACCAAGGCAACGAUCAGUAGGGGUUCUGAGAGGAAGGUCCCCCACAUUGGAACUGAGACACGGUCCAAACUCCUACGGGAGGCAGCAGUGAGGAAUAUUGGUCAAUGGACGGAAGUCUGAACCAGCCAAGUAGCGUGCAGGAUGACGGCCCUAUGGGUUGUAAACUGCUUUUGUAUGGGGAUAAAGUUAGGGACGCGUCCCUAUUUGCAGGUACCAUACGAAUAAGGAUCGGCUAAUUCCGUGCCAGCAGCCGCGGUAAUACGGAAGGUCCAGGCGUUAUCCGGAUUUAUUGGGUUUAAAGGGAGCGUAGGCUGGAGAUUAAGUGUGUUGUGAAAUGUAGACGCUCAACGUCUGACUUGCAGCGCAUACUGGUUUCCUUGAGUACGCACAACGUUGGCGGAAUUCGUCGUGUAGCGGUGAAAUGCUUAGAUAUGACGAAGAACUCCGAUUGCGAAGGCAGCUGACGGGAGCGCAACUGACGCUUAAGCUCGAAGGUGCGGGUAUCAAACAGG